rnacentral:rRNA from 1 species
CACGUAGGGUGCGAGCGUUGUCCGGAAUUAUUGGGCGUAAAGAGCUCGUAGGCGGUGUGUCGCGUCGGCCGUGAAAACCUGCAGCUUAACUGUGGGCUUGCGGUCGAUACGGGCAUCACUGGAGUUCGGCAGGGGAGACUGGAAUUCCUGGUGUAGCGGUGAAAUGCGCAGAUAUCAGGAGGAACACCGGUGGCGAAGGCGGCGACCUGGGUCGAGACUGACGCUGAGGCGCGAAAGCGUGGGGAGCAAACAGG